AUUGAACGCUGGCGGCAUGCCUAACACAUGCAAGUCGAACGAGUGGCGGACGGGUGAGUAAUGUCUGGGAAACUGCCUGAUGGAGGGGGAUAACUACUGGAAACGGUAGCUAAUACCGCAUACCAUCGGAUGUGCCCGGAGGGGAUUAGCUAGUAGGUUGGGUAAUGGCUCACCUAGGCGACGAUCCCUAGCUGGUCUGAGAGGAUGACCAGCCACACUGGAACUGAGACACGGUCCAGACUCCUACGGGAGGCAGCAGUGGGGAAUAUUGCACAAUGGGCGAAAGCCUGAUGCAGCCAUGCCGCGUGAGUGAAGAAGGCAUUCGGGUUGUAAAGCACUGUCAGCGGGGAGGCGUUACUCGCAGAAGAAGCAACGGCUAACUACGUGCCAGCAGCCGCGGUAAUUC
rnacentral:rRNA from 1 species